GGGCAUUUAGUCUAGUGGUAUGAUUCUUGCUUAGGGUGUAAGAGGUCCUGAGUUCAAUUCUCAAAAUGCCCC
rfam:Ipomoea nil DNA, scaffold: scaffold1074, cultivar: Tokyo-kokei standard.